AGAGCCAAUCAAAUUUGAUUUGCCAUAAUCCUCCAUUUUUUCCAUCGUAUUUUUUCAUUCGACGUGUUCAGAUAACAAGGAUGAAGUUAUUCUUUUUUAUACUCUUAAUUUCUUCCCUCCAAUUAUUGUAAAAAUGUAAUAGAAAGAUUUGUAAUUAAACGAGUCAUCAGUUCGAAGUUAUUGAUACAGCAAGUCAAUGUUCGCGAUCUUGCAUAGUUUGAAUUUGUAAUCGUUUUUUACAUUUAUUUAUUAUUCAUUUUUUAACGAUCAAUCAGUUGUUUAAAUAAAUGUAAUAUCAUAAUAAAAUCAAUUAAUAUUUUAAUAUUCUCAUUAAUUCUCUCCACCAGAUUGAUUCAAAGAAUGAAAGUACUAUCACACACACACACACACACACAACCGUUGGAUUUGUAACUUUUUUCUACAUUCUAUCAAAGAAUACAGAAGUACAUAGAAGCUCA
rnacentral:lncRNA from 1 species